UGUUUUCUACAGUCAAUGGGACAAACUGAAGACUGUUGCCAUGGUUGCAAGAAUGUUACCGUAACACAGAAGCUAAAUCUGAACUGUGAUAUCACCUUGACGUCAUGGUUGUUGCUUUGAUAUUUUUUUUUUGAUCUGUCGGUUGCUUUGAUCUGUUUCCCAUAAAUAGAAGUUUUCUCCCUUACACGCAGCAUCUUGACAAUACGUCGGACAAACCUCUGUUUUGCAGGAUUGUAAAACUUAAACGAAGGAUCGUACUAGACAGUUUCUGUAAUCUCCACUGAACUACCUUUAUAGCAAGGAUGCCUCUCUUGCUUUUGACUCAUCAUGUGAUUCCUUGGGCUUUUAAAAAGGCUCGACAGCUCGUGAGAUCUGGUCUGGGACAACCUCAGGUACAGUCUUGUUCACCUAAUACUGAGACAGAUUUUGUAGCCAACAGGUUCACAGAUCGAAGGUCACUGAAUUACACGACAGGCUUGGAGUGCCCGAGUGAAACUCAGCAGAACACAGCUGAACAGCACACGUCUGUCAUCAGCAGAAAUAAUUUACUCAACAAUACUUGUUCUACACAUGUGGAUACACCAUGUGAUGAAUCCUGUGAGCAGUUUCACAGAGGUUCAGACGGAUCUCGUCUAUCCAUAGUUCCAAAAGCUCUUGUUUGCAUACCCAGAGCUGCUGUUCUUAUCACGAGGCCCAUAAUUAACUUCACUAAAGCAACCGUGACAACUUUUCUCAACAUGGCGGUAGAUGGCCUUUCGAAAAUCAGAGGAAUGCUUCGAAAUUUAUUCCCUUUGCCUACAGAAGUUUUACAUUGUUGUAUCCAAGUUGCCUUUGAGAUAGCCCCAACAGAAGCAGAACUUAUAGUUCUCAUCUUUUUCUUCACCGGAAUUUGUCUCGUUUGCUUCAGAUUUUGUGGAAACUGUCUGUCUAGACUCAAAGAAAUAGUUUCACAAGAUUUGAGCUCGGUCCAUAUGAAAACUUCAGGCUCAGAGUGCCCGAGUGAAACUCAGCAGAACACAGCUGAACAGCGCAUGGUUUUUUUUGGCAGAACGGAUUUACUCAACAAUACUUGUUCUGCACAUGUGGAUACGCCAUCUGAUGAAUUCUGUGAGCAAUGUUACAGAGGUUCAGAAGAUGACACUUUUCUCGAUUUGGACUGAAAUUCAUGAAUCUCAGUCAAAUCUUAGAGAAGAAAGCACCAGUGAGACUGACAGUACAGGGAUCUGUCAGACAGACUGAUUCCUUAAAAUAGCAAGAUGAGGAAAGUAUUGACCGUGUCCUUAAAGAGGCAUAAAAACAAUCUUGAUUUGGUUAAAACUGUUUUCAAUUAGCUAUAAAAUCUUGACUGGAGUAUAACAAUAUUCAUUAGACUCUUACCAUCUUGAUCAGGCAAUACACACAACAGUUCAAAACGUACAUCAACCCAACCAGCCGCGACAGAUGGCUGCCCCUCCCUGAGCCUGGUUCUGUCGGAGGUUUCUUCCUAUUAAAAGGGAGUUUUUCCUUCCCACCGUCGCCAAAGUGCUUGCUCAUAGGGGAUUGCUAAACCCUUUUUGGGUUUAUCUCUCAAAUACUGCAGGGUCCUUCCCUUACAGUACACAGAGAUUUGGGAUGACUGUUGUGAUUUAUUGCCUUAUAAAUAAACUUUAAUUUGAAAUAAAAAUGUCCAAAUUUAAAAAAUAAUGGUUUGUGUGUUCUUUUAAGUGAUGUAUGUCAAAGUCAGUGCAACAAGUCAGUGUUUCUUGAUAUUUAUUUAUAAUCACCUCUGUUAAUUCUUGAUAUUUC
ensembl:lncRNA